rnacentral:rRNA from 1 species
CUUGGUCAUUUAGAGGAAGUAAAAGUCGUAACAAGGUCUCCGUUGGUGAACCAGCGGAGGGAUCAUUACAGAGUUAUCCAACUCCCAAACCCAUGUGAACUUAUCUCUUUGUUGCCUCGGCGCAAGCUACCCGGGACCUCGCGCCCCGGGGGGCCCGCCGGCGGACAAACCAAACUCUGUUAUCUUCGUUGAUUAUCUGAGUGUAUUAUUUAAUAAGUCAAAACUUUCAACAACGGAUCUCUUGGUUCUGGCAUCGAUGAAGAACGCAGCGAAAUGCGAUAAGUAAUGUGAAUUGCAGAAUUCAGUGAAUCAUCGAAUCUUUGAACGCACAUUGCGCCCAUUAGUAUUCUAGUGGGCAUGCCUGUUCGAGCGUCAUUUCAACCCCUAAGCACAGCUUAUUGUUGGGACUCUACGGCUUCGUAGUUCGCCAAAGACAUUGGCGGAGUGGCAGCAGUCCUCUGAGCGUAGUAAUUCUUUAUCUCGCUUUUGUUAGGCGCUGCCCCCCCGGCCGUAAAACCCCCAAUUUUUUCUGGUUGACCUCGGAUCAGGUAGGAAUACCCGCUGAACUUAAGCAUAUCAAUAAGCGGAGGA